ensembl:snoRNA SNORD31 Small nucleolar RNA SNORD31
UUCAGCUGUGAUGAUCGUAUACCGCCCCAGUCUGAUGUCCGUGACUGAGUGGUACAAUCUGAGCUGCA